UACGUAGGGGGCAAGCGUUGUCCGGAUUUACUGGGCGUAAAGAGCGUGUAGGCGGCCAAACAGGUCCGUUGUGAAAACUGGAGGCUCAACCUCCAGACGUCGACGGAAACCGUGUGGCUAGAGUCCGGAAGAGGAGAGUGGAAUUCCUGGUGUAGCGGUGAAAUGCGCAGAUAUCAGGAAGAACACCAAUGGCGAAGGCGGCGACCUGGGUAGAUACUGACGCUGAGGUGCGAAAGCGUGGGGAGCAAACAGG
rnacentral:rRNA from 1 species